rnacentral:RNase_P_RNA from 1 species
CAAGUAGAAUAAAUGAUCGCGGCUGAGGGCAUUACCCUCAGGUGAGGAAAGUCCGGGCUUCACAGGGCAGGAUGCCGGAUAACGUCCGGUGGAGGCGACUCCAAGGAUAGUGCAACAGAAAUAUACCGCCAAACGGUCAUCAUUGUAUGACGGGAAAUUUGCGUAGCGAAUUUUAGACAUUUAUGCUUCGCAUGAAUGUCCUGGUAAGGGUGGAAAGGCAGUGUAAGAGACUACCGCCUGCACGGUAACGGACAGGGCACAUGUAAACCCCAUCCGAAGCAAGGCCAAACAGAAAGCGUUAAAGUCUGCCCGACGAGCUUUCAGGUGGGCCGCUUGAGGCUGUUGGCAACAGCAGUCCUAGACAGAUGAUCAUUCACGACAUAACCCGGCUUAUCGUUCUGCUUGCUUU